rnacentral:rRNA from 1 species
CGGCGGCAGGCCUAACACAUGCAAGUCGAGCGGGGACUUCGGUCCUAGCGGCGGACGGGUUAGUAACGCGUGGGAAUAUGCCCAAAGGUACGGAAUAGCCUCUGGAAACGGAGAGUAAUACCGUAUGUGCCCUUCGGGGGAAAGAUUUAUCGCCUUUGGAUUAGCCCGCGUUGGAUUAGGUAGUUGGUGGGGUAACGGCCUACCAAGCCUACGAUCCAUAGCUGGUUUGAGAGGAUGAUCAGCAACACUGGGACUGAGACACGGCCCAGACUCCUACGGGAGGCAGCAGUGGGGAAUCUUCGGCAAUGGGCGCAAGCCUGACCGAGCCAUGCCGCGUGAGCGAUGAAGGCCUUAGGGUUGUAAAGCUCUUUCGCCAGGGAUGAUAAUGACAGUACCUGGUAAAGAAACCCCGGCUAACUCCGUGCCAGCAGCCGCGGUAAU